rnacentral:sRNA from 1 species
AAAAAUAAAAAUUACAAGUUUUUACAUUUUAAAAUAAUUUCAUUAUUUGUUGCCAAAAGCCAAGGCAAAUUCCUCCUUUUCAUAAUAAUAAAUAUUCUUUCAAGUUCUUAGAAUACCUGUUAACGUUUUAGAAUUAUCUUUACCAAAAAAUAACAUAUAGCUCUGGAGCGUUUUUAUUAAGAUUCAAAUUCAUAAAUUAAAUGUUGAAAACAUUAAUUGAGCAUUUCUACAUGCAAAGCACAGUCAUAAGUGGAAGAUACUUUAAUGUGACAGAGAAUAAGAAAAGGUUUGAAACAGGCUUACCGAUUCCUUCUUUUCCAGCUUCAGUUUUGAAUUUGUAAAUGGAGGAUAAUAAUGCCUGUCUCACAGAGAAGUUGAGAAAAUUAGGAAAUGACAGACCUAACGUGUGCUAAAGCAUAGGACUUGACACGCGUUUGGCACUUAAUAAAUGCCGGUUCUCUUCUUCCACUCCAUUUUUCAGAGAUGCAGUGAAAAGUAAGAAAUCAAUCCUGCCCUCAGCAUUGGAGGUGAUCCUUUUAAUGGAACAGAUUUUAUUGACUGCCUCGAAAUCUUUUUGAAUGAUUCUGCCACAGAAGGCAUCGUAUUGAUUGGUGAAAUUGGUGGUAAUGCAGAAGAGAAUGCUGCAGAAUUUUUGAAGCAACAUAAUUCAGGUCCAAAUUCCAAGCCUGUAGUGUCCUUCAUUGCUGGUUUAACUGCUCCUCCUGGGAGGAGAAUGGGUCAUGCCGGGGCAAUUAUUGCUGGAGGAAAAGGUGGCGCUAAAGAGAAGAUCUCUGCCCUUCAGAGUGCAGGAGUUGUGGUCAGUAUGUCUCCUGCACAGCUGGGAACCACGAUCUACAAGGAAUUUGAAAAGAGGAAGAUGCUAUGAAAGAAAAAAAAAUUCCUAAAACUGUGGAAUGGAUCACGUAGACAUGUAACCCAGCAGCAGUUUGCUUCUGUUGUCCACUGAUUAAUCAGCCUAUGUGCCUGACACUGGUCUUGCAGUACAACUGGAAGCCAAAACAAGGUGGAAGAUGUCCUGAAUUAAGAUGUUUUCAGCUCAUUGUAUUACAG